rnacentral:tRNA from 1 species
UCCUCUGUGGCGCAAUUGGCUAGCGCGUUCGGCUGUUAAUCCUCUACAAGGAGAAGCAAACCGGAAGGUUUCAAGUUCGAAUCUUGGCAGGGGAG